rnacentral:lncRNA from 1 species
GGGCUAUCAACUAAAUGUUAUAACUUCUGUGGACUCAUUCUCACAGAAAUAGAAUUCUUUGGAAGGAGAUGGAACCUCAGAUGCCAUCUAGUCCCACCCAGACUUGGAUGAGAAUCCAUUUUACCAACAGUCCCCACAAGUGGACAUAGAGAAUGCGAGGGAGGAAGAGCUCAUUUCAUGUGCAGACAUGAAAUCCUUGGGUAUUAGGACUUUUUUUUUUCCAUAUUAAGCCCCAACCUACCAUGCUUACAAAUUUGUCCUUUCCUUCUUUCUGUCAGAAUGCCAACAUUGAAACCUGGAAAGACUUAUAUGAACGGAUGCAAAGGGAAGUCAGCAGAACCAGGAGAACAUUGCACAUGUCAUCAAAGUCCAGUGGCAAGACAAAAGUCAAGAUGAUCUGUGAUGGCUCAGGAGAGUCUGUAUGAAGGUAUGAAUGAACUCAAUAAGUCCAGAAGUCAAUCCAUCAAUGAGUAGUUAUUAAACACCUCUUGUGCCUCAGACAGUGUGCUAAGUAUAUAAAAAUAAAUAAUGAAAGAGUAGCUGUAGCA